rnacentral:rRNA from 1 species
GACAGAGGGGGCAAGCGUUGCUCGGAAUUACUGGGCGUAAAGGGCGCGUAGGCGGGAUGGCAAGUCGGUCGUGAAAUCCCUCGGCUCAACCGAGGAACGUCGAUCGAUACUGCUGUUCUUGAGGAUUGCAGAGGAGACUGGAAUUCCCGGUGUAGCGGUGAAAUGUGUAGAGAUCGGGAGGAACGACCGGUGGCGAAGGCGGGUCUCUGGGCAAUUCCUGA